rnacentral:ncRNA from 1 species
GAGAGCCGUAUACAUCGAGAGGUGUAAGUACGGUUCGGGGGCGAACCAUGGGAAACCUGCCGCCGUGAGACGGCAAGGCGCCUGUGGUUUAGCCCAC